rnacentral:lncRNA from 1 species
AACCCAACCCUGCCAUCAAUUACGACGUUCGGGGAAUAAGCGAUUUUACUAGGUAAGUGGGGAGGCGUAUCGCCUCUUACGCCCUUAUAAAGGGACAAAGAUUCACCCUUUUUACCCGCGCCUUCUUCCUCCUUGCUUGUCCAUUCUCACGCACUCGAGCUCCAGCGCCCAAGUUCACGUCUUUCUUCUCAAACCACUCCAAGCAUGUCCGGAGCGGGAGGCAAGUGGAUGGUCUCCUCCGUCACGGAGGAGCACAUGCAAAGCUAUGGGAAGCCGGAUAUCUGGCCACGGACAUCGCGCACCGGCUACCAGAUGCGGGCAGAUCGUCCCUACGCCCGCACCCCAUGGGAGGGUAGUUUUCCUUACCCACUUUGUCCACGGACAGGGAUUUCCCCUUCACCCAUUUGUCUGCGGGCUCAUGUUCUACUACGGGCUGGAUUUUCAUGGUUUUGCCCCCAAUUUCAUCCUCAACAUCUCGGCGUUUAUCAUCGUGUGCGAGGCCUUCCUCCGCAUCAGGCCCCACUUCGGCCUGUGGCUGAAGACCUUCAAUGUUAAACCGAAGGUGGUGAUUGGCCAGCAAGCGGAGUGCGGAGGCACCAUGGUGGGCAAAAUACCUAACGUCACCUGGCUCGAAGGCUCCUAUGUGGAGACCAUAAAGGGGUGGCAAUCGGGGUGGUUCUACAUCACCGAGCCGCGCGGCACCAAUUGGGUGGUGGCCCUCGAAUUUCGAUCCGGAAUCCCCACGUGGCUCACCUCCUGGAAAGAGAAGGGCAUGUCCUGGGGUUCCCUGGUAGAGCUGACCAGACUCCAGACCUGCAUCAAGAACAUGAUGAGCAAGAAAAUCAAGCUCAUCAAUGUGGUCCAGGUCAUGCUCUUCCGCCGGAUUCUCCCGUGUCAAUGACGGGUAUUCAACUUGUGGGAGUUCGACCUAGCCGAGCACCAGACGCUGCGAGAGCUCUUCGACACGACACACAAGGACGUCUGGAACAUGUUGUUCAAGGGUGCUGAGGUACCUCCUCCCCUUACUGAGGACCGUGGACUCAACACAAAGCGCCACGCCAAUCCAGUAAGUUCUUGUAUCUCAUAGGAUAUUUAUUUGCCCCAGUUUUAAUCAUGUGCGGGAUCUAAGCUUCCAUGCCAUUAAAAGGACUGGGUGGAGACAGCGGAGCAGAUCAAUUGCCCAGCCCCCUGCCUGAAGAUCCUGCAGAUGCUCUCCUAACGGAGAUGCUGGUUCCGGUGCCUUACGAGGUGCCGGCGAAGAAGGCCAAGAAGAAGGCCACGGGGACCCGGAAGGGUCUUCGGCGCAAGGUUAUAUCGGAGUCAUCAUCCAAUAACUCCGACACACCCUCCUCCCACGAAAACGAGGAGGAGGAAGAGGAAAGUUCUCCCCCCUUAGCUGGGGGAGACAAGAAAAGGAAGGCCGACCCAACCGGGGAGGCCGAAGGGUCCAAGAAAAGAAGGACCCUCCUUCCGGACUGCUCCACGACGGCCGCCUACAGCGGCGACGAGUGGUUACCCAGAGAGAAGCCACUGGCAAAGUUGUAAGUAUCUGGAUACCAUAGUAAUUCAUGGUAUGUUUUAUUGCACUGCUUCUUCUUACGCCGAAUAUGAUUAUGCAGUCCGUCCCGAGCCCGUCUUGACGUAUCUUCGUUGGACGGUUCUUUGGACUCGUCGGAUAUGAAUAGCGAUUCACUUUCGACCGCCUCGACCCCUUGCCCUAUGGACAACGUCGAGGUGUUGUCUAAAAAGGCACCGAGCCGAGGGGAGGUAGUCCUGGGGGCACCUCGAGGCGACCUUCCGGACCCUGGGCGCAAAGGGAGCAAGACUCCCACGGGCUCCAAGUUCGGCCCCUAGCCGAACACUGCGCCGGAACCUUCGGUGGUUCCGGACUCUGGCAGGCGAUCCCCCGUUAAAAGGGGCAAGCCGCCCAUGCCAGUGGCCUCUGUCCAUCCAGAGGCACCGGACAACUUGCUGGAAGCGCUUCGCGGCGCUUCCAUCGACGAAGAUCACCACACUAUCAUGAGUGUGGUGAUCGAGAAAGUCCAGUCUGCCAAAAAUGGACUGACUGAAGCUUGUGCUAGGCUCCUAACAGUCUUUGAGGUAAGCAAUCAAAAGAUAGGAAAAUAUUAUCGCAUAGACAGUAGCCCCUGAUGCUCUGUUUGGCGUUCGCGAAGAAAGGCCGAAUAGAGGAUCAAAUAAUGACUCAGGAGUCUAAUCAGAAUACGUCUAUGUGCAUAUGUAGGCUUCACUGCUGGCCGCUACCUCACGUACUGCGGAGGUCGCUGCACUGAAGCAGGACCUUGAGCGGUCUGAAGACGAGCUCGGCCUUACCAAGAGGCAGCUCGAGUAGAGCAAAGGUAAGCAAUACCUUGUCUAUAUAUUAAAAAUAAAUUCAGUUGUAAGUAAUAGGAUCAUUAUGAAUUUGUCAGGGGCCACAACCGAGGUGGCAACCCUGAAGAAGGCGUUGUCCGAGGCCGAAUACAAAGCGGACAAGGAGCGCAUUGAGCGGGAAAAGCAAGAAGCCCGGGUAGGCGAGGUGCAGCAAGAGCUCGAGGCUCUCGCCAAAAAACACGAGUCCUUGGAGCUUGACUCUAAGAGGCGAGAGUCCGAGCUUGCGAAGGCGCUCGAAAGCGCACGGAGCGCCAAGGCUGAAGCCCACAAGACCCUCCAGGAGAUGGAUGCGGUGAAGAAGAUAGCAACAGGUAAGGCAUUCAUUAUGCAAAGUGAGCAUGUGAAGGAAACUUUCCUUUUACUUACCCGAGUUCGGAGCUCUCCAGGAGCGUUCGCAGAUCUUCCCCGCAGUGUACUGGAUGCCGUGGAGUUUUACCGAGCUGAGGAGGAGAGCUCGACGGAAAAGUUGUUCUGGUCUCAGUAUACUGGGACCGAACACCCAAUGCCCUUGAGCGACCAGCUGAAGCAACUAGUCGAGCUUCACAAGGCGGCCGAACAGGCCAUGAAGGGUCUUAUAGCCUGGAUGUGGCAUGGCGAUCCCCUGCCUAGUAGCUACUUCGAUCUGGUGAGGCGCCUCGUAGAUGCCUGCCCACGACUUGAAGUUAUAAAGUGGUCCGUAUGCAUCGAGGGUGCGCGCAGGGCUUUUGCCCAGUCGAAGGUGCACUGGGCGAAGCUGGACGCCGUAAAGCUGGUGAAGGAGGGGCCGCCGGAGGGCAAGGAGCAUCGCUGCCCGAAAUGUAUUAUGACAGUGUCCUUCCAGCCUUGUGGCGGAGGAAUGUGCCAGAGAUGUAAUUUUUGAAUGAACAUGCUCAUGUGAUCCUGUAAUAUGAAACGAGUUCAUUUGCUCUAUGCAAUGCUUUUUAAUUUAAAAUAUUACCUUCUGUGCGGCCGUUUAUAAAAUUUGAGAGUUGGCCAGUCGUCGGCUUCUGCCCCCAUGUAACUAGUACUGGGGUGUUCGGGAUAAACCUGAUCACUCUUUAUCCCAAUUUUGGGUCCUUCGAAGGAGGUGUUCAGCACAAUGAACCAGGCAAUCAGACUAUAAGACUUUAUCACUCUCACUUAGCCAUAGAAGUCUACAAUUUUAAAUUUUGGCGAAGCCCCUAGUAUUCGGAAGACCGAAUUGGGGGCGCUAUAUACGCCUAAGUCGGGCAAGGCUGACUCCUCGCCCGAAGCGGAAAAAGUCUUUAAGGACUUGAGACCUCUCGAACAACGACCAGCUCUCGCCUUAUCAUGAUAGUUAGUUUCCGGCUAUCUCUACUAAGGUGCUCGUCCGGAAGAACCGGGACACAAUCGCAGUAGUUCUCCCAAUGCUACCUUAGCCGAUAUAGCGGAACGUAAGGUACCAAAACAUGGGAGCCGGGCAAACCCAACUAUUGACCCAAGACAUGAUUCGGAGCUGAUGCAUAUAAUGCUAUAAGUUCGGGGUGCCGCACUGUCAAAAGUGUUCAGACUUCUCACACUGUAUUAUGGGGUAAACGAAAGCCCCUGGCGUACUGACCGUACCAGAAUGUACGGGUGCAAGUUGUCGUAAAUGAACAUAUAAGAAAAAAAAGGAUGAAUAAUGCAAUAAUAGACUAAUGCUAUGCAUUGUUAUUUAAAUAAUACAUUGAAGUGUACUAAUACAAGUAGUGCAAUAAGCAGAAAAUAGGACUAUUUGACAUGUCCUAUCCAAGGGCAAGCUGCGUAUGGAUAGUAGAAAGCGGGUAUAUCGAUUAUUAUUAGAGACCACCUGGGGGUUCCCUUGUACAUCUUAGCUUCUUGCCACCUUGGUUGUUCCUUCCCGUAGUGUGUCCGACAAUCGUACUGCCGGAAAGGGCUUCCAGAGAGUUAGGUCCUGAAAGAGAAAAAAUGAUAAAGGUAUGCAGCCCCUAGGGCGGUUAAGCCGCAUUGCGGGACGUGCCCUGAUCGUGCCCCCGCCUAUGCCCAUGGUAUUUUUAGUGCAUAAUUAUGUACGCGUGGCACGGAUUUCGUCGCUUGACUGGGAUUGGGUCGGGGGCCGAAUUGCUAGGCGAGCUCUGAACAUGCCAGGCGAUCCUGUUGCAGUUUACUCCGGACUCGCUUGACGGUGUCCGGGGGUUGUAUCGCCGAAUUGGUGAUUUGCCGUAAAAGGCUGCUUUGUGCUUCUGCUGCGAGGGUUGCAGUGUGCUCUUCCGUGCGGACCGAGCGUUCUGUGUUUCCAUUGACUGUUAUGACCCCCCUAGGUCCUGGCAUCUUGAGCUUGAGGUAUGCGUAAUGUGGUACCACAUUGAAUUUUGCAAAUGCGGUUCGCCCGAGCAGUACGUGAUAGCCACUGCGGAACGGGACGAUAUCGAAGAUUAACUCCUCGCUUCGGAAGUUGACCGGAGAUCCGAAGACCACUUCCAGUGUGAUUGAGCCCGUGCAAUGGGCCUCUACACCUGGGAUGACGCCCUUAAAGGUGGUUUUGGUGGGUUUGAUCCUCGAGGGAUCUAUACCCAUUUUGCGCACUGUAUCCUAAUAGAGUGGGUUUAGGCUACUGUCGCUGUCCAUAAGGACUCGAGUGAGGUGAAAUCCGUCGAUGAUAGGGUCUAGGACCAGUGCGGCGGGUCUGCCAUGACGGAUACUAGUGGGGUGGUCCCUGCGAUCGAAGGUCAUCGGACAAGCGGACCAUGGGUUGAACUUUGGGGCAACGGGCUCAAUCGCAUAGACGUCCCUUAGUGCACGCUUAUGAUCCCUCUUGGGAAUGUGGGUUGCGUAUAUCAUGUUCACCGUAUUCACUUGUGGGGGGAACCUCUUCUGUCCUCCCGUGUUCGGUGGCCGGGGCUCCUCAUCGUCAUCACUAUGCAGCCCCUUGUCCUUGUUUUCAGCAUUUAACUUGCCGACCUGCUUGAACACCCAGCAUUCUCUGUUGGUGUGAUUGGCUGGCUUAUCGGGGGUGUCGUGGAUUUGACACGAGCGAUCAAGUAUGCGAUCCAAACUAGACGGGCCCGGAGUACUUCUUUUGAAUGGCUUUUUCCGCUGGCCGGAUCUAGAGCCUCUGAAUCCGGCAUUGACUGUUGUAUCAUCGGUGUUAUCGCCGUUGUUGCGGCGCUUUUGUCUGUUACGACGUGGUCUGCCAUUGGCAUCUUUGGUAUCCGAAGUGCCCGAAUUCCUUGAUGUGUUGUUGCUGCGAGCUAGCCAGCUAUCCUCGCCCGUGCAAAAGCGGGUCAUGAGUGUCGUGAGGGCUGCCAUAGACUUCGGCUUCUCCUAGCCGAGGUGUCGGGCAAGCCACUCGUCACGGAUGUUAUGCUUGAAUGCCGCUAAGGCCUCUGCAUUCGGACAGUCGAUAAUUUGAUUUUUCUUAGUUAGGAACCGUGUCCAGAAUUGCCUAGCCGAUUCCCCUGGCUGUUGAGUUAUAUGGAUCAAGUCAUCAGCAUCCGGUGGUCGCACAUAAGUACCCUGGAAGUUGUCAAGGAAUGCGUCCUCCAAAUCCUCCCAACUAUCGAUGGAGUCUGCUGGCAAGCUAUUCAGCCAAUGCCGAGCUGGUCCUUUGAGUUUUAGUGGGAGGUACUUGAUGGCAUGCAGAUCAUCACCGCGAGCCAUGUGGAUGUGAAGGAGGAAAUCCUCAAUCCAUACAACGGGAUUUGUUGUACCAUCAUAUGAUUCGAUAUUUACGGGUUUAAAACCCUCCGGUAAUUCGUGAUCCAUAACUUCAUCAGUGAAGCAUAGGGGGUGUGCGGCGCCUCUGUGCCGGGCAAUAUCACGACGCAGUUCAUAUGAGUCUUGUCUGUUGUAUUCGGCCCAGCCGGAUUUACUUUUAGUGUAUCCGGCACGACGGUCAUUGUCCCGCGUUGGCGCGCGCCCCCGUGACCCGUAUAUUGACCUGGCAUGUUUUGCCCUGCUGUCCAAUACGUCUCCCAGGUCCCGUGUGUUGCCCCGGGCCUUGGUAUUUUUGAUUGAGUGGUGGCGGGGUGCAGGCUGAACUUCAGGCUGAAACGCCUCUCUGGCUCGACCACGCGGUGGCCGGUUAGCCGCAUCGUACACUAGUGAUGGAGGUUUCAAUACUUCCUCCUCGAGGUGAGGUAGCAACCUGCGCUUUGGGUAACUCUUGGAGGGGCGCUCGAGUUCGUAUUCCUCGUCCGCAAGGACUUCGGUCCAUCUGUCUGCUAGCAAGUCUUGAUCAGCUUGAAGCUGUUGUUGCUUUUUCUUCAGGCUAUUUGCUGUGGCCAUAAGCCGGCGCUUGAAGCACUCCUGCUCAACAGGAUCCUCAGGCACGAUAAAUUCUUCGUCGCCGGGGCUCACCUCGUCUUUGGAGAGAGGCAUGUAAUUGUCCUCCUCCGUUCUCCAUCUGCUGCCUGCUCUAGAGGGCUAGCUUGUUCACCCUCCCGCUCUACAUCGUGCUGGAGGGGAUUGUGGUUGUCUUCGACACUAUCCGGAGUGUUAUUGUCUCUUGUGCUGGUAUCACUACUUUUGCUAUGGCGGGACUUAGAGCGGCGCUGCUGACGUCGGCGCUUAGGUUGCUUCUUGGAGGGGUCAUCCUCCGCUGUCUCCUCGCCAUUGCCUUCUUUGGGGGUGUCCACCAUGUAUAUAUCAUAUGAUGAGGUGGCGGUCCAGCGCCCUAUGGGCGGUAGUUCCUGUUCGUCUCCUGCAUUGUCGUCCAUACCGUCGAUGUCUUCGGAGUCGAAGUCGAGCAUGUCGGUUAAAUCGUCGAAAGUGGCUACUAAGUGGGUGGUGGGUGGGCAGCGAAUUUCUUCGUCGUCCGCAUCCCAUUCUAGCCGGACAUAGAUCGGCCAAGGUUCUCCUGACAAGGAGAGAGACCUUAAUGAAUUUAGCACAUCGCCGAAAGGCGAGUGCAGAAAGAUAUCCGCGGAGGUGAACUCCAUGAUCGGCGCCCAAUCGAAUUCGAUAGGCACGGAUGCAGGCGGCUCGGAGUCCGUGGCCGGAGACGAAUCCAGUGGUUCGGCAACACGGCUCUCGUAAGGGGUGAAGUCAGUAUCCGGCUCCAUCGCCACUGAGAGUGCGGCCUCCAUGGCGGGGUCUAUCCCUUCGUCCUCGGAUGGCGCAAUUUGCUCCAGAUUGAAGGCCGGAGUAGUUGCAAAUGCGAUCUCCCGAACACUGUCCGGCGGCAGAGUUACGUCAUGCUCAUUGUGAUUGUGCGGUGCACCUGACAUGGGCUCAAAUCCGUCGAAGAUCAAGUCUCUGCGGAUGUCGGCAGUGUAGUUUAAGUUUCCGAACCUGGCCUGAUGGCCAGGGGCGUAGCUCUCGAUCUGCUCCAGAUGGCCAAGCGAAUUGGCCCGCGGUGCGAAGCCGCCGAAUACGAAGAUCUAUCCGGGGAGGAAAACCUCACCUUGGACCGCAUCGUUACCGAUGAUCGAAGGGGCCAUCGAGCCUUAUGGUGACGGCACAGUGGAACUCUCAAUGAAAGCACCAAUGUCGGUGUCAAAACCGGCGGAUCCCGGGUAGGGGUCCCGAACUGUGCGUCUAAGGCGGAUGGUAACAGGAGGCAGGGGACACGAUGUUUUACCCAGGUUCGAGCCCUCUUGAUGGAGGUAAUACCCUAUGUCCUGCUUGAUUGAUCUUGAUGAUAUGAGUAUUACAAGAGUUGAUCUACCACGAGAUCGUAGAGGCUAAACCCUAGAAGCUAGCCUAUGGUAUGAUUGUUGUUGUCCUACGGACUAAACCCUCCGGUUUAUAUAGACACUGGAGGGGGCUAGGGUUACACAGAGUCGGUUACAAGGGAGGAGAUCUACAUAUCCGUAUCGCCAAGCUUGCCUUCCACGCCAAGGAAAGUCCCAUCCGGACAUGGGACGAAGUCUUCAAUCUUGUAUCUUCAUAGUCCAACAGUCCGGCCAAAGGAUAUAGUCCGGCUGUUCGGAGACCCCCUAAUCCAGGACUCCCUCAAUGAUCAAGUUUAUCUAUGAACAAUACUUGAAUCUUCUCUAAAUUCUUUUAUGUAUGAUUGGUUAUCUUUGCAAGUCUCUUCGAAUUAUCAGUUUGGUUUCGCCUACUAGAUUGAUCUUUCUUGCAAUGGGAGAAGUGCUUAGCUUUGGGUUCAAUCUUGUGGUGUCCUUUCCCAGUGACAGUAGGGGCAGCAAAGCACGUAUUGUAUUGUUGCCAUCGAGGAUAACAAGAUGGGGUUUAUUUCAUAUUGCAUCAUUUUAUCUUUCUUAAAGCGAUACUCUGUUCUCUUGAACUUAAUACUCUAGAUGCAUGCUGGAUAGCGGUCGAUGUGUGGAGUAAUAGUAGUAGAUGUAGGCAGGAGUCGGUCUACUUGUUUCGGACGUGAUGCCUAUAUACAUGAUCAUACCUAUAUAUUCUCAUAACUAUGCUCAAUUCUAUCAAUUUCUCAACAAUAAUUUGUUUACCCGCCGUGAAUACUUAUGCUCUUGAGAGAAGCCACUAGUGAAACCUAUGGCCCCCGGGUCUAUCUUCCAUCAUAUUAGUCUUCCAAUACUUAGUUAUUUCCUUUGCCUUUUAUUUUACUUUGCAUCUUUAUCAUAAAAAUACCAAAAAUAUGAUCUUAUCAUAUCUAUUAGAUCUCACUCUCGUAAUUGACCGUGUAGGGAUUGACAACCCCUUAUCGCAUUGGUUGCGAGGAUUUAUUUGUUUGUGUAGGUACGAGGGACUCAUGCGUGGCCUCCUACUGGAUUGAUACCUUGGUUCUCAAAAACUGAGGGAAAUACUUACACUACUCUGCUGCAUCACCCUUUCCUCUUCAAGGGAAAACCAAUGCAAGUGCUCAAGAGGUAGCAAGAAGGAUUUCUGGCGCCAUUGCCGGGGAGGUCUACGCAAAAGUCAGCAUACCAAGUACCCAUCACAACCCUUAUCUCCUGUAUUACAUUAUUUGCCAUUUGCCUCUCGUUUUCCUCUCCCCCACUUCACCCUUGCCAUUUUAUUCGCCCUCUCUCUCUCUCUCUAUCCUCCCUCUCUUUCUCUAUUUGCCUCUUUUUGCCCGUCCCUCGUUUACUUGUGUGUUGGAUUGCUUGCUUGUCACGAUGGCUCAAGAUAACACUAAAUUGUGUGACUUUACCAAUACCAACAACAAUGAUUUUAUUAGCACUCCGAUUGCUCCUCUUACUGAUGCUGAAUCUUGUGAAAUUAAUGCUACCUUGCUGAAUCUUGUCAUGAAAGAUCCGUUUUCUGGCCUUCCUAGUGAAGAUGCCGCUACCCAUCUAAAUAGCUUCGUUGAUUUGUGUGAUAUGCAAAAGAAGAAAGAUGUGGAUAAUGAUAUUGUUAAAUUGAAACUAUUUCCUUUUUCGCUUAGAGAUCGUGCUAAAGCUUGGUUUUCGUCUUUGCCUAAAAAUAGUAUUGAUUCGUGGAAUAAGUGCAAAGAUGCUUUUAUCUCUAAGUAUUUUCCUCCCACUAAGAUCAUCUCUCUUAGAAACGAUAUUAUGAAUUUUAAGCAACUUGAUCAUGAACAUGUUGCACAAGCUUGGGAGAGGAUGAAAUUAAUGAUACGUAAUUGCCCUACGCAUGGUUUGAAUUUGUGGAUGAUUAUACAAAAAUUUUAUGUCGGAUUGAAUUUUGCUUCUAGAAAUCUUUUUGAUUCGGCCGCGGGAGGCACUUUUAUGGAAAUCACUUUAGGAGAAGCUACUAAACUCCUAGAUAAUAUUAUGGUUAAUUAUUCUCAAUGGCACACUGAAAGAUCUACUAAUAAGAAAGUGCAUGCGAUAGAAGAAAUUAAUGUUUUGAGUGGAAAGAUGGAUGAACUUAUGAAAUUAUUUGCUAAUAAAAGUGUUUCUUCUGAUCCUAAUGAUAUGCCUUUGUCUACUUUGAUUGAGAAUAAUAACAAAUCUAUGGAUGUGAAUUUUGUUGGUAGGAACAAUUUUGGUAACAACGCAUAUAGAGGAAACUUUAACCCUAGGCCGUAUCCUAGUAAUUCCUCUAAUAAUUAUGGUAAUUCCUACAAAAAUUCUUAUGGAAAUUAUAAUAAGAUGCCCUCUGAUUUUGAAUCUAAUAUUAAAGAAUUUAUUACUUCGUAAAAGAAUUUCAAUGCUUUGAUUGAAGAAAAAUUGCUUAAGAUUGAUGAGUUGGCUAGGAACAUUGAUAGAGUUUCUCUUGAUGUUGAUUCUUUGAAACUUAGAUCUAUUCCACCUAAGCAUGAUGUCAAUGAGUCUCUCAAAGCCAUGAUAAUUUCCAUUGAUGAGUGCGAAGAAAGAACCGCUAGGAUGCGUGCUAAGAAAGAUUGUUUUAUAAAAGUGUGUUCUUCUAGUUUCCAUGAUAAUAAAGAUGAAGAUCUAAAAGUUAUUGAUGUGUCCCCUAUUAAAUCUUUGUUUUGCAAUAUGAAUCUUGAUAAUGGGACUGAAUAUGAUCCACCUUUACCUAGACGGCGUUCCAAAAAUUUGGAGUCUUUAGAUCUUGAUGCUAAAAUUGUUAAAAGUGGGAUUGAAGAAGUCAAAACUUUAAAUAUUGAUGAACCUACUAUUUUGGAUUUCAAGGAAUUUAAUUAUGACAAUUGCUCUUUGAUAUAUUGUAUUUCCUUGUUGCAAUCCAUGCUAAAUUCUCCUCAUGCUUAUAGUCAAAAUAAAGCUUUUACUAAACAUAUCGUUGAUGCUUUGAUGCAAUCUUAUGAAGAAAAACUUGAGUUGGAAGUUUCUAUCCCUAGAAAAAUUUAUGAUGAGUGGGAACCUACUAUUAAAAUUAAAAUUAAAGAUCAUGAAUGCUAUGCUUUGUGUGAUUUGGGUGCUAGUGUUUCCACGAUUCCAAAGACUUUAUGUGAUUUGUUAGGUUUCCGUGAUUUUGAUGAUUGCUCUUUAAACUUGCACCUUGCGGAUUCCACUAUUAAGAAACCUAUGGGAUGAAUUAAUGAUGUUAUUAUUGUUGCAACUAGGAAUUAUGUGCCCGUAGAUUUUAUUGUUCUUGACAUAGAUUGCAAUCCUUCAUGUCCUAUUAUUCUUGGUAGACCUUUCCUUAGAACGAUUGGUGCAAUUAUUGAUAUGAAGGAAGGGAAUAUUAGAUUCGAAUUUCCGUUAAGGAAAGGCAUUGAACACUUUCCUAUAAAGAAAAUUAAAUUACCUUAUGAAUCUAUUAUGAGAGCCACUUAUGGAUUGCCUACCAAAGAUGGCACCACCUAGAUCUAUCCUUGCUUUUUAUGCCUAGCUAAGGGCAUUAAACGAUAGCGCUUGUUGGGAGGCAACCCAAUUUUAUUUUUAUUCCUUGCUUUUUUGCUCCUGUUUAUUAAUAAAUAAUUUAUAUAGCCUCUGUUUUGGUUGUGUUUGUUGUGUUUAAUUAGUGUUAGUGCCAAGUAGAACCGUUGGGAAGACUUGGGGAAAGUCUUGUUAAUCUUGCUGUAAAAAACAGAAACUUUAACGUUCACGAGAACUGCUGACAUUUUUAUUUGGAAAGUGAUAUUUAGUUAACUCUUUUUGCAUACGUUUAAUAGAUAAAUUCCUCACGUCCAGCAAUUUAUUUUAGAAUUUUCGGGGUUCCAUAUCUUGCGUUAGCUACAGAUUACUACAGAUUGUUCAGUUUUUGACAGAUUCUGUUUUUCGUGUGUUGUUUGCUUAUUUUGAUGAAUCUAUGGCUAGUAAAAUAGUUUAUAAACCAUAGAUAAGUUGGAAUAAAUUAGGUUUAACACCAAUAUAAAUAAAUAAUGAGUUAAUUACAGUACCUUGAAGUGGUGUUUUGUUUUCUUUCGCUAAUGGAGCUCACGAGAUUUUCUACUUUAAGUUUUGUGUUGUGAAGUUUUCAAGUUUUGGGUAAAGAUUUGAUGGAUUAUGGAACAAGGAGUGGCAAGAGCCUAAGCUUGGGGAUGCCCAUGGAACCCCCAAGAUAAUCUAAGGACACCUAAAAGCCAAAGCUUGGGGAUGCCCCGGAAGGCAUCCCCUCUUUUGUCUACUUCUAUCGAUAACUUUACUUGGAGCUAUAUUUUUAUUUACCACAUGAUAUGUGUUUUGCUUGGAGCGUCUUGUAUUAUUUGAGUCUUUAUUUGUUAGUUUUCCACAAUCAUCCUUGUUGCACACACCUUUUUGAGAGAGACACACAUGAUUCGGAAAUUAUUAGAAUACUCUAUGUGCUUCACUUAUAUCUUUUGAGUUAUAUAGUUUUUGCUCUAGUGCUUCACUUAUAUCUUUUAGAGCACGGUGGUAGAUUUGUUUUAUAGAAACCAUUGUUCUCUCAUGCUUCACUUAGAUUAUUUUGAGAGUCCUACAAAACAGCAUGGUAAUUUGCUUUAAUUAUUUGAGGCAUUCAAGAUUAAUAAAUAAAAAAAUUCUUAUGAGGGUGUUGAAUACUAUGAGAAGUUUGAAACUUGAUAAUUAUUUUGAGAUAUGGAGAUGGUGAUAUUAGAGUCGUGCUAGUUGAGUAGUUGUGAAUUUGAUAAAUGCUUGUGUUGAAGUUUGUGAUUCCCGUAGCAUGCACGUAUGGUGAACCGUUAUGUUAAGAAGUCGGAGCAUGAUGUAUUUAUUGAUUGUCCUCCUUAUGAGUGGCAGUCGGGGACGAGCGAUGGUCUUUUCCUACCAAUCUAUCCCCCUAGGAGCAUGCGCGUAGUACUUUGCUUCGAUAACUAAUAGAUUUUUGCAAUAAGUAUGUGAGUUCUUUAUGACUGAUGUUGAGUCCAUGGAUUAUACGCACUCUCACCCUUCCACCGUUGCUAGCCUCUCUAAUACCGCGCACCUUUCACCGAUAUCAUACACCCACCAUAUACCUUCCUCAAAACAGCCACCAUACCUACCUAUCAUGGCAUUUCCAUAGCCAUUCUGAGAUAUAUUGCCAUGAAACUUUCCACCAUUCCGUUUAUCAUGACACGCUCCAUCAUUGUCAUAUUGCUUUGCAUGAUCAUGUAGUUGACAUUUUAGUUGUGGCAAAGCCACCGUUCAUAAUUCUUUCAUAUAAGUCACUCAUGCAUCAUUGCUAUCCCGGUACACCGCCGGAGGCAUUCGUAUAGAGUCAUACUUUUUUCUAGUAUCGAGUUGUAAUCAUUGAGUUGUAAAUAAAUAGAAGUGUGAUGAUCAGCAUUCAUAGAGUAUUGUCCCAAAUAAAAAAAAGAGAAAGGCCAAAGAAAAAAAGAAGGCCCCAAAAAAGGGCAAUACUACUAUCCUUUUUCCACCCUUGUGCUUCAAAGUAGCACCAUGAUCUUUAUGAUAGAGAGUCUCCUUUGUUAUCACUUUCAUAUAAUAGUGGGAAUUUUUCAUUAUAGAACUUGGCUUGUAUAUUCCAACGGUGGGCUUCCUCAAAAUGCCCUAGGUCUUCGUGAGCAAGCAAGUUGGAUGCACACCCACUUAGUUUAUUUUUGUUGAGCUUUCAUAUAUUUAUAGCUCUAGUGCAUCUGUUGCAUGGCAAUCCUUACUCACUCACAUUGAUAUCUAUUGAUGGGCAUCUCCAUAGCCGGUUGAAAAAAACGCCUAGUUGAUGUGAGACUAUCUUCUCCCUUUUUGUCUCCUCCGCAACCACCAUUCUAUUCCACCUAUAGUGCUAUGUCCAUGGCUCACGCUCGUGUAUUGCGUGAAAAUUGAAAAAGUUUGAGAACAUUAAAAGUAUGAAACAAUUGCUUGGCUUGCCAUCGGGGUUGUGCAUGAUUUGAAUACUUUGUUUGGUGAAGAUGGAGCAUAGCCAGACUAUAUGAUUUUGUAGGGAUAACUUUCUUUGGCCAUCUUAUUUUGAAGAGACAUAAUUGCUUAGUUAGUAUGCUUGAAGUAUUAUUAUUUCUAUGUCAAUAUUAAACUUUUGUCUUGAAUCUUUUGGAUCUGAAUAUUCAUGCCACAAUUAAGAGAAUUACAUUGAAAUUAUGCCAAGUAGCAUUCCACAUCAAAAAUUCUGUUUUUAUCAUUUACCUACUCGAGGACGAGCAGGAAUUAAGCUUGGGGAUGCUUGAUACGUCUCCAACGUAUCUAUAAUUUUUGAUUGUUCCAUGCUAUAUUAUAUUCUGUUUUGGACAUUACUGGGCUUUAUUAUACACUUUUAUAUUAUUUUUCGGACUAGCCUAUUAACCGGAGGCCCAGCCCAGAAUUGCUGUUUUUUGCCUAUUUUAGGGUUUCGAAGAAAAGGAAUAUCAAACGGAGUCCAAACGGAAUGAAACCUUCGGGAACAUGAUUUUCGGAAUGAACAUGAUAAAGAGGACUUGGACCCUACAUCAAGAAAUCAACCAGGAGGCCACAGGUAGGGGGCGCGCCCUCCACCCUCGUGGGCCCCCUAUUGCUCCACCGACGUACUCAUUCCUCCUAUAUAUACCUAUGUACCCCAAACUACCAGAUACGGAGCCAAAACCCUAAUUCCACCGCCGUAACUUUUUGUAUCCACGAGAUCCCAUCUUGGGGCCUGUUCCGGAACUCCGCUGGAGGGGGCAUUGAUCAUGGAGGGCUUCUACAUCAACACCAUAGCCCUUCCGAUGAAGUGUGAGUAGUUUACAUCAGACCUACGGGUCCAUAGUUAUUAGUUAGAUGGCUUCUUCUCUCUUUUUGGAUCUCAAUACAAAGUUCUCCCCCUCUCUUGUGGAGAUCUAUUCGAUGUAAUCUUCUUUUGCGGUGUGUUUGUUGAGACCGAUGAAUUGUGGGUUUAUGAUCAAGCUUAUCUAUGAACAAUAUUUGAAUCUUCUCUGAAUUCUUUUAUGUAUGAUUGGUUAUCUUUGCAAGUCUCUUCGAAUUAUCAGUUUGGUUUGGCCUACUAGAUUGAUCUUUCUUGCAAUGGGAGAAGUGCUUAGCUUUGGGUUCAAUCUUGCGGUGUCCUUUCCAGUGACAGUAGGGGCAGCAAGGCACAUAUUGUAUUGUUGCCAUCGAGGAUAACAAGAUGGGGUUUAUUUCAUAUUGCAUGAGUUUAUCCCUCUACAUCAUGUCAUCUUGCUUAAAGCGUUACUCUGUUCUCUUGAACUUAAUACUCUAGAUGCAUGAUGGAUAGCGGUCGAUGUGUGGAGUAAUAGUAGUAGAUGCAGGCAGGAGUCGGUCUACUUGUUUCAGACGUGAUGCCUAUAUACAUGAUCAUACCUAGAUAUUCUCAUAACUAUGCUCAAUCACGUCCGAAACAAGUAGACCGACUCCUGCGCGCAUCUACUACUAUUACACCACACAUCGACUGCUAUCCAGCAUGCAUCUAGAGUAUUAAGUUCAAGAGAGCAGAGUAACACUUUAAGCAAGAUGACAUGAUGUAGAGGGAUAAACUCGUGCAAUAUGGAAUAAACCCCAUCUUGUUAUCCUCGAUGGCAACAAUACAAUACGUACCUUGCUGCCCCUACUGUCACUGGGAAAGGACACCGCAAGAUUGAACCCAAAGCUAAGCACUUCUCCCAUUACAAGAAAGAUUAAUCUAGUAGGCCAAACCAAACUGAUAAUUCGAAGAGACUUGCAAAGAUAACCAAUCAUACAUAAAAGAAUUCAGAGAAGAUUCAAAUAUUGUUCAUAGAUAAACUUGAUUGUAAACCCACAAUUCAUUGGUCUCAACAAACACACCGCAAAAGAAGAUUACAUCGAAUAGAUCUCCACAAGAGAGGGGGAGAACUUUGUAUUGAGAUCCAAAAAGAGAGAAGAAGCCAUCUAGCUAAUAACUAUGGACCCGUAGGUCUGAGGUAAACUACUCACACUUCAUCGAAAGGGCUAUGGUGUUGAUGUAGAAGCCCUCCAUGAUCAAUGCCCCCUCCAGCGGAGCUCCGGAACAGGCCCCAAGAUGGGAUCUCAUGGAUACAGAAAGUUACGGCGGUGGAAUUAGGGUUUUGGCUCUGUAUCUGGUAGUUUGGGGGUACAUAUGUAUAUAUAGGAGGAAGGAGUACGUCGGUGGAGCAAUAGGGGGCCCACGAGGGUGGAGGGCGCCCCCCCCUACCUCGUGGCCUCCUGGUUGAUUUCCUGACGUAGGGUCCAAGUCCUCUGGAUCAUGUUCAUUCCGAAAAUCACGUUCCCGAAGGUUUCAUUCCGUUUGGACCCCGUUUGAUAUAUUUUUCUCCGAAACCCUAAAAUAGGCAAAAAAACAACAUUUCUAGGCUGGGCCUCCGGUUAAUAGGUUAGUCCCAAAAAUAAUAUAAAAGUGUAUAAUAAAGCCCAAUAAUGUCCAAAACAGAAUAUAAUAUAGCAUGGAACAAUAAAAAGUUAUAGAUGCGUUGAGACGUAUCAGCAGCAAGGUUGUUGCCUCGAUUGUUGGAGGAUCAUUAAUGAAGGGUAUCUUCGAUUUUAAUGAACAAGUGAUGUCAUGGCGGUUUAUUACGAACCUGGAAGAUGACGUCGUGGCGGUUUACAAGAUCUGUGCGAAGGUGUAGAAGGAGGAAAUUUUCUAAGUGUUGAAGAUUGACAUGAACGAGUUCAAAUCAAUUUGGGGCCUAAUGUUGGGGAUAUUACUAUUAAGUAUAAACCGGCCAUGAGGGGCCGGGUUAUGCCCACAAGGAGUUAGUCAUGUUUGAAGCCCGUGAAGACAAGCGGUAUGGCGCUUUACAGAGGAGAUCUACAUGAAGGCCCAGGGCCCAAAGGCGGAUUAGGGCCCGUAGAUAUAAACCGCCAUAUGAUAUGUAACUUAUGUUGUAAGUCAAGGAAAGGUAGAAACCUAGCCGGGCACGUUUAUGAGCCGGCUUCGGGAUUCUGUAAACCGCCGGGCGUCAACCUCUGUAUAUAAAGGGACGACCCGGCGGUAGUUUAGGGACAGACAGAAAACGAUAACUCGAGAGCCAGGCAAAACGGAUUCGCUCCCUGGUCAUCGAAACCCAAGCAAUUCCAUCACAACUGGACGUAGGCUUUUACCUUCAUCGUAAGGGGUUGAACCAGUAUAAUUCCUCGCGUCCCUUGUCCGCUUUAACCCCUUCAAGCUAACCCGUUGCGAUGGCUCCAUGACUAAGUCCUUUCACGAGGACAUCAGCCGUGACAAAACCGCGACACCAUAGGAAUGCUUUGGGUGUACCAAACAUCACAACGUAACUGUGUGUCUAUAAAGGUGCACUACAGGUAUCUCUGAAAGUGUCUGUUGGGUUGGCAUGAAUUGAGACUGGGAUUUGUCACUCCGUAUGACGAAGAGGUAUCUCUGGGCCCACUCGGUAAUGCAUCAUCAUAACGAGCUCAAUGUGACUAAGGAGUUAGCCAUGGGAUCAUGCGUUAUGGAACGAGUAAACAGACUUGCCGGUAACGAGAUUGAACAAGGUAUGGGGAUACCAACGAUCGAAUCUUGGGCAAGUAACAUAACGAUGGACAAAGGGAAUUGUAUACGAGAUUGAUUGAAUCCCCGACAUCGUGGUUCAUCCGAUGAGAUCAUCGUGGAACAUGUGGGAGCCAACAUGGGUAUCCAGAUCCCGCCGUUGGUAAUUGUCCAGAGAGAUGUCUCAGUCAUGUCUGCAUGGUUCCCAAACCUGUAGGCUCUACACACUUAAGGUUCGGUGGCGCUAGAGUUGUUAUGGGAAAUAGUAUGUGGUUACCGAAGGUUGUUCGGAGUCCCGGAUGAGAUCCCGGAUGUCACGAGGAGUUCCGGAAUGGUCCGGAGGUGAAGAGUUAUAUGGGAAGUCCAGUUUCAGUCGCCGGAAUAUUUUCGGGGGUUAUCGGUAUUGUACCGGGACCACCGAAAGGUGUCCGGGGGUCCCCCGGGUGGAGCCACCUGCCACGGGGGACUUAAUGGUCUGAAUACGGGAUCAAGUUCCCAAGGGCCCAAGGCGCCUAGGGUUGAAAACCCUAGGGGGUGGGGGCGCCUCCCACCAAACUUGGGGGUCAAGUUCCCCCCCCCCUUCGCCGCCGCCCCCCUUUAGAUGGGAUCUAGGGGCGCCCCCUCUCCCCUUCACCCUAUAAAUAGAGGUGGGUGGGAGGGCAGCCGCACACCUUCCCUGGCGCAGCCCUCCCCCUCUCCAACACCUCCUCCUCCGCAGUGUUUGGCGAAGCCCUGCCGGAGAACUGCAAGCUCCACCACCACGCCGUCGUGCUGCCGGAGCUCUCCCUCAACUUAUCCUCUCCCCUUGAUGGAUCAAGAAGGAGGAGACGUCCUCAGGUUGUACGUGUGUUGAACGCGGAGGCGCCGUCCGUUCGGUGCUAGAUCAGAUCUUCCGUGAUUUGAAUCACCGUGAGUACGACCCCAUCAUCUGCGUUCCUUGUAACGCUUCCGCUUAGCGAUCUUCAAGGGUAUGAAGAUGCACUCCCUCUCUCUCUCUUGUUGCUAGCAUCUCCUAGAUUGAUCUCGAUGACACAUAGGAAAAUUUUGAAUUAUUACUAUGUUCCCCAACAGUUACCACCUUACGUGCCGCUAGUUCGGCUAAGGUAGUAAAGGGAGAACUAUUGCGAUCGUGUUUCUGGUUCGUCCAGUCAAACACCUCAAUAGAGAAAGCCGAAAACUGGCUGUCAUGAUAUGGUGAGAGCAGGUCGGCGAUUCGAUGACUUACUACAAAUCAUUUGUGAUUUACUCCAUGUUACACGAAGGGUUGGUCUUCACCCAGUCAUGCGACAAAGGCAUCCUAGUCCGGACGGCUGCUUACGCACCAGGGGCUAGUACUUAGCCCCGCUGUCAAACUCCUAUAGCUAAGUGAAAGUAAUAAAACCGCAUAGUCUGAUUGCCCGGUUCGCUACACAGACACCUCCUUUAUGGACCAAGACGUUGGGUCAAGUGUGAUCACGCGCUAUACCGAACACCCCCGUAGCAUCUACGUGGGGGCUGAAGCUGACGACUGGUAAACUUCCAGAGUUAAAGUGGUUGCACAGGAGGAGAAUAAAGGCAUAAAAUAUAUUACAAGCCUUGGUUCACAAAACAAAGUUUUAACAGCCCUGAUACAUUCACUCAAACAUAACAUCCUUUGAGCAUUGGCCCUCUACUAUUCGGGCACCCGCUAAGUUAUCUUCAAAGUAUCUCUCCGGCUUGCGGUGGUCCUUGCCUUCGGGCGGGCCUGCGGUUGUGACAUCGGUGGCCUUCAUCUUUGCCUAGUGCAUCUUGACAUGGGCAAAGGCCAUCCGCACACCCGCUAUGCACGCCGAGCACUUCACAGCUUCAACUCGGGGCAGCGCAUCGACAAGUCGCCUCACCAAGCCGAAGUAGCUGCUAGGAAUGGGUUCGGCUGGCCAGAGCUAGACUAUGAGAUCCUUCAUGGCCAAGCCGGACAUCAUAUGCAGCUCCGACAGUUGCUUCAUCUGGUUGUUCAACAGCGUCGGGUGCUUCGGCGCCAGGAACUGUGACCAGAACAGCUUCUCUGUCGAGUUCCCUCCUGGGCUCGGAAGAACUGCGCGGCGUCGACGGCACUCCUCAGCAGAUCCGCAAAGGCAUCUGGAGAACUCCAUAGAUGAGUGAGCAAGGCGUAUCCUUUACCCGCAAAUAUACUCUGCAAAAGACAGGGCUUACGAGUCACUAUUUGUCGGCCCGCUGGAUCUCUUCACGAGCACCCUCGAACUCGAUCCGUGCCUCUUUUGACUCCUGGAGGGCCGUGUCUCUAUUUGGCUUGGGCCAUAGUCUUCUCCUCCAAGGCCUCGCACUUGCCGGUGGUGUCCUUCAGUUCUUGCUCCACUUCAGCCACCCUCUCCUCGUGCUGGCGGCGGGCGACCUGUUCAGUCUUCAAUUUUGCAGCCGCUUUGUCAGCGGCUGCUCUAUUCGCCUUCGCCUCCUCCUUGGCUUGGGCAAGGGCACUUGAGGGUCUCAACCUCGGCCGCACCAACUGCACUCAUAAUCACAACAGUAAAUGAGUUCAACUUUUGAUUUGCAUAUCACUUUAGAUAUAUGAUCAAACUCUUUAAAAGUACACGCAUACCUUGCGUCUCAUCAAACCACUUGUUAAUGCGGUCGAAUUCAUCAUUGGCCAACUUCAGUUUUCGAUUAAGCUCGGAAGCUUCGGAGGCCUGGGCGGUCGCCGCCAGCAGGGGAGCCUGUUAUAAAAUAGAAACGUAUGUCACCUCUUCCGAAUACUAUGUGAUCCUCUGUUCGGCUUUUUCAACACCGGACAGAGUUUCAGGGGCUACUAUCUAUAUACAGGUAUAUUUCCUUUAUAUGAAAAAGCGUCUAGAGCAUUACGUCGCAUACCUCGAAGCCUGUUAGCGGGCUGGUGAAGGCUUCGUUCAACCCGCUCUUGGCAGACUGAACCUUCUGAUGGGUGCGGUGCUCCUCCACGAUGGAAGCACGUCGCAGUGCUUCCACCAGAGUAUUCGACGCCUCUGGAGCCGAUGCUCCCCCCUCUUCCAAAGGGGGUUGCUCGCCCGAUUCCGGAGCCACGUUGGUCUCCGGAAUAAUGUCCGGCUGGGGGCCGGCCUGGUCAAGGCCCCCACCGUCGGUCUCCAUGGGGGUCGCACCCCCGAUGUCUUCGGCCGCCGAGGUAUUACCCUCGGGCGCCGUCUCGCCAGCCUCGCCCACCUCUUUGCGGCCUAGAAAGGUCCUUCGGGACAACACCUCGGUGUCAUCCGUGAUGAUUGGCGAAGGGGCUCGCGGGGGCAUCUCGCUCUCUGCCAUCUCUGGUGGCAGAGAACUCCCCUCAGAUAGCGAAGGGUCAGGGAGGUCGCGAGCAGGGCUGAAAAACAUAUAGUAUAAUAUGUUAUAUUAUGAAAACAUAGUGGACCGAAGACAUAUAAUAGAUCUUUGGGUGCUUACGAUUCGGCCAGGGGCUUCACCCUGGGAAGCCCCUUGGGGAUAGGUUCGGCCUCCAAAUCCGAACCAUCCGAGAGGGUCAUCUUCCCCCUCUUGGGCGCCUCCUCCUUCGUGUCUGUGGAGGCUUCCCUCUUCUUCUUCUUCCCCUUAAGAGGGGAGUCACUUUCCACCUCCUCCUCCUCGUCGUCUUCGUCUCCCUCGUGGGAGGAGGGGAUUUUGGUCUCUCUGAACACUGCGUCCGAAGGACCCUUGUGGAGGAGGCCGCCCUUGGCCUACUUGCCCUUCUUCUUCUUGGCCUUCUUCUCCGACGCCUGAUAAGGCACCGGGACCAGCAUCUUCGUCAACCGGGGUUCGGCCGGGUCUUCAGGCAGUGGGGCCGGACACUUAAUCCGCUCAACCUUUGCUAUCCAGCCCUGUACAAGAGACAAAAACUCAUUAUGUUUGAGGAAAUUAUGACCGAAUGUAUAUUUGGGAAAAUCAUACUUACCGAUGUGGCCGAAUUCUCGCUGUCGAGACCGAUGUCUUCGGUCUCCUUCAGCCAUGCUUUUUGGGCCUUGAACAAUAGCUUCCAGAUGUCUUCGUGCGUUGUGCCGAAGAAGUGCUUCAAGGUCCGAGGAUCUUCUGGAUUGAACUCCCACACGUGAGAGGGCCGGAAUUGACAUGGAAGAAUCCGGCGGAAGAGCAUCACCUGAAUUAUGUUAGUGAGAUUUGUGCUCUUACUUAUCAUGUUUGUGAUGCGCUUUUUCAGCAUCAACACUUCUGAUGUGGAUCCCCAGUCCAAACCCUUAGCGGUCCAUGAGGUGAGCCGCAUAGGGGGCCCGGAUUUGAACUCAGAGUGGCCGCCCACUUGGUGUCGCGGGGUUCGGUGAUGUAGAACCACUCCUGCUGCCACACCUUGACAGUCUCCACGAAGGCCCCCUUAGGCCAAACAGUGUUGGGGAGCUUGCUCACCAUGGUGCCGCCACAGUCCGCAUGCUGCCUAUCGACCACCUUCGGCUUCACAUUGAAGACCUUGAGCCAUAGGCCAAAGUGUGGGGGGGAUGCGGAGUAGCGCCUCACACACGACAAUGAACGCCGAGACGUGAAGGAAAGAAUUCAGGGCUAGAUCAUGGAAAUCUAACCCAUAGUAGAACAUGAGGCCCCGGACGAAGGGGUGGAGGGGAAGCCCUAGCCCGCAGAGGAAGUGGUGGAUGAAUACAACUCUUUCGCCGGGCUCCGGAUUGGAUGACUUGGUCCUUGGCAGGGAGCCUGUGCGCGAUGUCUGCAGACAAAUACCCCGCCCCUCGGAGUUCCUUGACAUCCUUCUUGGUGACAGAAGAGGCCUCCCACUUGCCCUUUGAACCGGAUCUAGACAUGGCUGGAAAGGCUGGUGGCGGUGGGAAAGAUUGAAGUUUGGGCGCUGGAGCUCGAAGAUGGGAAAACAGGAGAAGGAAGAAGGCGUGGGGAAAAUAAGGGAAUCUUUAUCCUCUUAUAUAGGCUGUGAAUAUCAAACGCCUCCCCUCAAGCCUUGAAACUCGCCUAUUCCCGAGGGGUCGUGCAAAUGGCACGGUUGGAUUACCCAAAACCGUAUUGAUGAGGAUCCCAUAAUGGGCGGGCACGAUCUCUGUUUUGACAAGACGUGCCAAUAGAGGUUGUGCCUCGAAACACGAAGCGGGAGGUGUCAAAAUGGUUCGAAAUGUUAAGAGGCCAAACAUGAAUUUUCGCCAAAAAAAGUUGUCAGUGAAAAGAUACUAUUUUAUUUGGUAUCUUACCUUCAUGACCAAGGGUUGCCGCAAUUAAACAGAGUCGGAUACAGUUCUUUUAUUUAGAAGAUUGCUUUGAAGUACUCAGGAGGAGGAACCCGCCUUGCAAUGCCGGAGACAAUACGCAUGCCGAACAUAUCGUCAUUGAAGACUGGUUCAGGGGCUACUGAGGGAGUGAUUAGGGGGUCCUCGGGUGUCCGGGCUAUGUGACAUGGGCCGGACUGUUGGGCUGUGAAGAUAUAAGGCAGGAGGCCUUCUCCCGUGUCCGGGUAGCACUCUCCUUUGCGUGGAUGGUAAGGUUGGUGUCCGGAUAUGUAAUUUCCUUCCUCCGUGAACCGACUCUGUACAACCCUAGGCCCCUCCGGUCUGUAUAUAAACUGGAGGGUUUAGUCCAUAGAGGCUAUCGGAAUUCAUAUAGGCUAGACUGCUAGGGUUUAGCCAUUACGAUCUCAAGGUAGAUCAACUCUUGUAACCCCUACACUUAUCAAAUACAAUCAAGCAGGACGUAGGGUUUUACCUCCAUUAAGAGGGCCCAAACCUGGGUAAACAUCGUGUUCCCCCUGUCCCUUGUUACCUUCGAUCCUCAGAUGCAUAGUUCGGUACCCCCUACCUGAGAUCGGCCGGUUUUGACACUGACACCGCCCACAACUCUUUGUGUUCUACUCGUGCAUAUCAUCUACGCAUAGACCUGGCUUAGAUGCCACUGUUGGGGAACAUAGCAUGCAAUUUCAAAAAAUUCCUACGCUCACGCAAGAUCUAUCUAGGAGAUGCAUAGCAACGAGAGGGGGAGAAUGUGUCCAUGUAGCCUCGUAGAUCGAAAGCGGAAGCGUUUGACAACGCAAUUGAUGUAGUCGAACUUCUUCUCGUUCCGACCGAUCAAGCACCGAAUGUAUGGCACCUCCGAGUUCUGUACACGUUCAGCUCGAUGACGUCCCUCGAACUCUUGAUCCAGUAAAGUGUCGAGGGAGAGUUUCGUCAGCACGACGACGUGGUGACGGUGAUGGUGACGUGAUCCACGCAUGGCUUUGCCUAAGCACUACGUGAAUAUGACCAGAGGUGUAAACUGUGGAGGGGGGGGCACCGCACAUGGCUAACAACUAUUGAUGUGUGUUCCAGCGGUGCCCCCCUCAUAUAUAUAGGUUGGAGGGGAGGAGAGGCAGCCAACGGGGUGCCCCAAGUAGGAGGAAUCCUACUUGGGGCCACCCCAAUUCGGCCUCCCCGCUUUCCAUAUCCACUGGAGGGGGAAGGAAGGAGGAGGGAGGAGGGAAGGAAGGGGGAGGCCGAAUCCCUCCCCUUCCUUUCCCCUUCUCCUCUUUCCUUCCCCUCCCAAUUUGGCCUACAUGGGGCACACCAGCCCCCAUAGGGGCUGGUCUGUCCCCUUCUUGGCCUAUUAGGCCCAUGUAGUUGCCGGGGGGAUGCCCAGAACCCCUUCCGGUGACCCGAUAUGUACCCGGUACCCUCGGAACACUUCCGGUGUCUGAAUAUUAUCGUCCAAUACAUGAAUCUUUACCUCUCGACCAUUUUGAGACUCCUCUCCAUGUCUAUGUUCUCAUCCGGGACUCCGAACAACAUUCGGUCACCGAAUCACAUAACUCAUAUAAUACAAAAUCAUCAUCGAACGUUAAGCGUGCAGACCCUAUGGGUUCGAGAACUAUGUAGACAUGACCGAGACACCUCUCCGGCCAAUAACCAACGGCGGAACCUGGAUGCUCAUAUUGGUUCCCACAUAUUCUAUGAAGAUCUUUAUCGGUCGUACCAUAAUGACAAAUACGUUAUUCCCUUUGUCAUCGGUAUGUUACUUGCCUGAGAUUCGAUCGUCGCUAUCUUCAUACCUAGCUCAAUCUCGUUACCGGCAAGUCUCUUUACUCGUUCUGUAAUACAUCAUCCCGCAACUAACUCAUUAGUCACAUUACUUGCAAGGCUUAUUAUGAUGUGCAUUAUCGAGAGGGCCCAGAGAUACCUCUCCGAUACUCGGAGUGACAAAUCCUAAUCUCGAUCUAUGCCAACCCAACAAACACCUUCGGAGAUACCUGUAGAGCAUCUUUAUAAUCACCCAGUUACGUUGUGAUGUUUGAUAGCACACAAGGUAUUCCUCCGGUAUCCGGGAGUUGCAUAAUCUCAUAGUCAAAGGAAUAUGUAUUUGACAUGAAGAAAGCAAUAGCAAUAAAACUGAACGAUCAAUAUGCUAAGCUAAUGGAUGGGUCUUGUCCGUCACAUCAUUCUCCUAAUGAUGUGAUCCCGUUCACCAAAUGACAACACAUGUCUAUGGUUAGGAAACUUAACCAUCUUUGAUUAACGAGCUAGUCUAGUAGAGGCUUACUAGGGACACCGUGUUUUGUCUAUGUAUCCACACAUGUAUCAAGUUUCCGGUUAAUACAAUUCUAGUAUGAAUAAUAAACAUUUAUCAUGAUAUAAGGGAAUAUAAAAUAACAACUUUAUUAUUGCCUCUAGGGCAUAUUUCCUUCAGUAAGAGCGGGAUAGAAGUGCGGAGUAGGUAAGCCAUGCGUUGCAGGAGGGAGAGUCGAGGUCAAGGACACCGCGACAUGAUCCUCGAUGGGUAGGUCCUUGAGAUGGGAGGAGGAGAAGGUGGGCGCGGCAAAGGAACUCUCAUCAGAGAGGAAGGAGCGUGAUACAACUAUGAUGAUGAGAGGGGUGGGUAGGGCGGCGGUGGCUUAUGACGGGACAAAAGCGACGGCGGCUGCGACUAGGGGUGGAAGAGAAGGGGCAACAAUGGCUUGGGAAGGAAGAGACGACAUCCAAGGGUAGAGAUGGAGGCGGUGGUGGUGGCUUAGGAGGCAUGGUGGCGACCUAGGGCAGAAGCGAUGAGAUCGCGAAGGAAACUGAUACCAUGUAGAAAGGAUAUUAGAUGCAACUCAAUUGUAUUCAUCUAAGUCAUUUACAAUAUAUACAUGAGAUGUCUUGCGUGACAAACCAACUAUCCCUACCAAAUCUCUAGAAGUUAAAAUAUGCAUGACUAGAGAUAAGAGAGAGAACAAUUGGGAGAUAUGUACAAAUAUGUCACGUUCAACAGCCUGCCUCGUCGGAAUUUGCCCAUCGUUAAGCACCAAUCAAAGUUAGUAGAAGCACCAACAUGUUUCAGUCAUGCUUCUGUUUUGCACCAUUAUCUUUCACAUGUACAUCUGAGGAUGGUUCAUCACGUUGUAGCCGACUGAAUUAUAUAUCACUUUUAUCUGUGCAGUUCUCCUUUUGAGAACAGAAUGACUAUAAUUUGUGUAUGGAGCAAAGGCGUCGAUCAACAUGGCAGAUUAAUUAAUUGGUUUCGAAAAGGAAAGCAUAUAAGUUGCUCAGCAAAACAAUUUUUGUCGUGUAAAUAUUGGUUGUAUUUUACCGAUAUGCAUGGUUGAACAUUACUACUUAUGUUACCUGAGUAGUAAUGUAAGAUGAAGUGAAACAUGGUGGACAUGGUUUCAGAGCUUGCGGAGAGAUGUCAAGGGUGAUGUUGAGGCCGGUGGCGAAAGAAAUGGCCAAAUGCGGUUCCUCAACACUAGCGGGAAAGAAGGCCCAUGGGUUACCGUAGGGCAAUGCAGUGUGUAUUACUGGGUUCCAUUUUCAACUUGAGAAGAACUCAUGAACGAUAUGUGCACGAUUCAUCUGUCCAUUUAUUUGAUCCUUCCUUAUUCCACUCACUCAGGUUCAUUUACUCACGCACUUACCCAUAGUUUGAUGUGUUGAGAAAUUUUGACCUUAAUUCUAAUGUGGAAUAUCUUAUAUAUCCAUAAACCUCAGAUAUUCUUUUCAGCAGAACAUGAUCAUUAUGUUUAUAUAUGCAACUAGUAAAAAAUUUAAACUGCUCGUGGCAACGCAUGUGCAUUCUACUAGUUACUAGUAAUAACGUAGGAUUGUCAUAUGGAAACCCAAAAAAUGUUUUCCAGCCGCUCAAGCUUUUCUUUACCUUAAUUCGAUCUAUGUUCACCAUGAUUUUAAGUGCACGUGUUUUUUAUUGAACACCGUACAGACGCAAGCGCUCAUAUACACGCGCAUACACCCACCCAUAUGAAUGCACACACGCAUACCCUACCUCUAUGAGCAUCUCCGAAGGACUGAGCCGACAUAUCAUCUUGAAAUUUACGAAGUCGCCGUAGGCACCUCGUCGUCGACGGGAACGUCUCCUCCCACUGAAUGCACAUCGCCGGAAAUAAGCUUAUACACUAGAGCACUAAUUUUAUUUUGCGGGGAGUUGAAAAAUCAAUUCCACCAUUUUUUUGAGAAUAAUCAGUUCCACCAUUUUUUUUUAGAAGUAUUAAUUCCACCAUUUAUUUAGGGGUAUCAAUUCCACCAAAGUCUCAUCGUCCUACAUCUGCAAUGGGCCGAAACUCCGUCAUAAAAAGUUCAGCCCAACACCACUCGGACCCCCCACCACAGAGCUAUAAAAUAGAACCAUCUCCAAACCCUCGCAAACCCUAGUCCCCCCACACCAACCACCCUUCUCCCGCCGCCGCCCCGCGAAGCAAAGCAGGAGGAGCAGGAUGCCGGCGGGCCACGGUCUGCGGUCGCGGACGCGCGACCUGUUCGCGCGCCCGUUCCGGAAGAAGGGUUACAUCCCGCUCACCACCUACCUGCGCACCUACAAGGUCGGCGAGUACGUCGAUGUCAAGGUGAACGGCGCCGUGCACAAGGGUAUGCCGCACAAGUUCUACCACGGCCGCACCGGACGCGUGUGGAACGUCACCAAGCGCGCCAUCGGCGUCGAGAUCAACAAGCAGGUAUAUAUCGAUCCCGUUUUCUUCCCUCGCGGCUGUGCUGGCACAGAUUCUGUCGAUCUGCGUCCCUGAGGUACUUGCUUCACAGUGAUGCCGCCGUCGUGGCAGGCUCCCAUUUGUAGGAUUUGUUCAACUGAUUGUUGUUUGCAAUUGCGAUUCUGUUUAUUUAGUAGCUGUAAUGGGCUUUUACAGCCUCUUGUUGGAAGGCUUGACAUUCUUAGAUCUGCCUGCUUGGUAGGUGUCGCAUACAGAGGAUUUAAUGGCGAUAGUGUGGGUUAAUGCUUGUGCGGCUGCAGUCAUCCAACGUUAUCAUGUUUUAUAUGCUCUGAAGAUUCAUUAUGGUUGUAGUAAUCCAAGAUGUUGUUUUGUCAUCAGUAUGGGAACAAAUGGUAGCUAAGGCGAGGAGGGUUGAAGCUGAAGUUGUUCAGUGUUUGUUGUACACACAUGUUCCCUCAAAUGGUUUUAGCUGCUUCCAUUGCAUGGAAUACUAAAUUUGGACUGUCCCAGCUUUACAAUUCUAUUAGUUUCGUCUAUUGAUUGUUGUGUGAUUAGAGACUGAUAAAGUGUUGAGUGCAUUUACAAUUAUGGCAUAUUGAAGAUUACUGCUUUGCUGAGCAAACAGUCCCCUAGGAUUUCUGCCCAACAAAGAUCAUAGUAAUCCAUUCUGCUGUGGCCCUGUAUACUAGCAUGUUAUCUCUUUUCUGAAGUAGAUAAGAUCCAUUCUGUUGUUAGUGUUAAGAUAUGUAUGUUUUGCCCUUUGUUUUCUUUGAACUACACCUCAGGUUAUAUGGCUGUAUUGUGCUCUAGUGGAACAUACUAUUUUAUCGUAAAAUUUCAUGUAGACUCAAGUUCAGGACUAAUAUAUUUACAAUCACAAUCCUGUUUACAUUGUCCAGGUUGGAAACCGCAUUAUCAGGAAAAGGAUCCAUGUCCGUGUUGAGCAUGUGCAGCCAUCCAGGUGUGCGGAGGAGUUCCGCCUGAGGAAAGUGAAGAAUGACCAGCUCAAGGAGGAAGCCAAGGCACGUGGUGAGGUCAUCAGCACCAAGAGGCAGCCGCUCGGCCCUAAACCUGGGUUCAUGGUUGAGGGUACCACAAUCGAGACCGUCACUCCCAUUCCGUACGAUGUGGUCAAUGAUCUCAAGGGUGGUUACUAGGGUGUUUGGGUUAUCUGCCUGCACAACCAGUUCAAAUCUAUGGUGCUCUUAUGGGUUGGAUUUGCUCUCUGAGCAGUAGUCUGGGUUGGGUCUUUAUUCAUGUCAAGAAGAUUUUCGGUGUAGGUUGCUAUCAUGAGUUUUGCAGAAAUGCUAUACUGUGCUAUUUCCUUAAGAAUGAUGAUGUGCUCUUUUGAACUAUGUAGUUACAUUGCUUACCUCCGAAGGUUCUCUUUGCCUCUACAGCCUUGGUACUGCAGAGCUGCUGCAGCUUGCUGUUUGUCUUUUGAACUUUGACCCAAUCGAUUCAAUUACUUCUCAGUGCAUUUUGUAUAUUACGUACUUGCUUGAUCUACAUCUUGUUUGCACGCCAUAGCUUGGGGGAUUGCUUCUCCGCUUGCUUG